AACCCCAUUUUAAUCCAUGAACUCCCACUAAGCCCCUCCCUCCUCUGUCCCCUUUGGCUGGGUUUUUCUAGGUGCCCAGCUGCAUCACCUGACCCAGGUGGGUCUGUGCAGUCAGAUCGGCUCCUACCACGGCGUGGGAGUGGGCCGCAGCAUGUCCGGGCCCACGGGCUCCAGCUGGCACCAGCAGCAUUCGGACCAGGACCUCUCCAGACCAGGAGCCAGCAGAGAGAGUGGUCCAUCUCUGGGUGCGUCCAGCUCCUCAGAGGUCCAUCGUUUCGUACGUCAGACUCACAUCUUCACUGAAGUGCUUCCUGCCGUGGAUCCUUCUAUGACAACCUUUUCUAGACUUCAGUUGCAUUCUGUCUGUCUGGAAUGUGGACUCCACUCCGUCCUCCUGGCUCCAGAUUUUGGACUGGGUUCCGAUGAGAGUCGUCAUUCCGGACCUUCUGCAGUGACGGGUUCCUCCAGAAUCCAAAGCUCUGAGGGGUCCAGUUCCUCCAGAUCUUCUGUGGUGCUAACCAUCAGCCUCAUUCCAUCUCAUUGACCACUUACUGCCUUCCACUGUCCCUCAGCCACAUCGAUCAGGGCUCAGAAACUGUCCUGGUGGGGUCACCAUAGACCCCUCCAACAGCAUCACGUCAACCGUAAACAUGAUCGAUAUAAAUAUAUACAUAUAGAUAUAUAAAUGGAGAGAAAAUAUUCUUUAGUAUGAUUCAAAUCUAUGUAAAGAGAAGUUUCCAAUGAGCACAAUGUAAAUGUAGACGGAGUGUCUUCAUCAGAACCUUCUGUGACCCGCUUGAUCCGGGUCAGACGGGUCCGUUCUCUGCUUGCUCCUGCUGUGUUUCAGUUUGCUUUAGGUGCCCGUUGCUUUGCAUCUCUGCUUGUGAUCGUGUUGUCAUGGUAACGGCUGGCGCUUUGCCAUUGGGCUUCCUGUUGCUGUUCAGUUGCAUUCAUGCGUCUGUGGGGGGCGCUGCAGAGGUCUGCGGGUGUUUGGGGGUCAUACCUGUUUCACCCCCCGUGGGUUGGGGGGGUGGGGGUGAGGGCAGGAAGGCUCUUCUGAUGGGGCUGGAGAUUCUGUGAUGGUCGGUCCCCCCCACCCCAGACGCCCCCUCACACCUGCGCUCUUCAUCAUCCACCAGAGGAGGCGUGUCGGCCGGCCGGCCCCUGGUCUGGGACUGGCUGCAGCGUUCUCGGGGGGAGGGGGGUCAUUUCCGUCAGCAUGUCAGCUCAGUUUGAGGCUCUAGCUGCUCUCGAUGUUCCUGUCGUUGUUCAGCAUGCUGCUCAGAAGCGCUUGUGUGUAAACGUGAGGAUGACCAGCUUGAAGAACGUCUCCACGUCUCAGCCAGACUCGUGGUCCUCCACCUUCCUCCAGGUGUGGAAACUGGCCCAAGAACAGUCUGCUGAUUGGUCCUGGUCUGUGUCAAUCAUCCAAUGAGACCUGGUCCUGCCCGAAGGACCACGUGGUGCUACAGGAGAGACCGGGACGGCGCGGGUCCUGCAGGUCGCGCCUGCUGCUCUGCUGGGUCGUCCAGCGAAUGUUUCUGCUACAAACCUCGAGGACGGAGCGGAUGAGCGUGGCGCCAUGAAGCGGCGCCGGAUGAGGCGCUCUCGACUCGCGCGGGAGCAGGUGGCUCCCCCGAUCAGCUGUUGUUGUCCCAUCGCUUUCCAGUUUCACGUGAGUCUGAACUGAUUUCUUCACACUGUGCUGAGGCCACGCCCUCGCCAGGUGAGCCUGACCUAUGACCCGGAUGAAGUCCAGAGCCAGGUCAGCUCGCCUCAGUCCAGGUUCCAUGAGUGAUCCACUGAACGUGAAGGUGUGGGGGCUGUCAUCGGGACACCGCCCGCCAGGUGAGGGUCACCUGAGCGGACCGUCCCACUGAGUCUGUCAGCUGUUUCCUGUGGUGUUUGAAUUCUGAUUGUACUGAACAUUAAAGAGACGUGUUCAGAACCAACCGGACUCUGUCUUCACUGAGAUCUCCGCUCUACCACAGCACCCCGGAUGGGGCUUAAACGUUUUUACCAAUCCCUAAAUUCAACUGUAAUGCCUCACUACAGACGCUCCAGACUUUAUUUUCAAGAAUUAAACAAGUUUCUCAUAAAUUUGU
ensembl:lncRNA